AUUGAACGCUGGCGGCAGGCCUAACACAUGCAAGUCGAACGGGUGGCGGACGGGUGAGUAAUGUAUGAGAAACUGCCUGAUGUAGGGGGAUAACUACGGGAAACGGUAGCUAAUAACGCGUACCAUCAGUUGUGCCCAGAUGGGAUUAGCUUGUUGGGGGGGUAAAGGCUCACCAAGGCGACGAUCCCUAGCAGUGCUGAGAGGAUGCCCAGCCACACUGUAACUGAGACACGGUCCAGACUCCUACGGGAGGCAGCAGGGGGGAAUAUUGCCCAAUGGGCGCAACCCUGAUACAGCCAUGCCGCGUGUAUGAAGAAGGCCUUCGGGUUGUAAAGUUCUUGCUGCAGGGAGGCGUUACCCACAGAAGAAGCACAGGCUAACUCCGUGCCAGCAGCCGCGGUAAUAC
rnacentral:rRNA from 1 species